CGAUGAUUAUACUGCUGUUGACGAUGACGAUGAUGAUGAUAAUAGUGAUAAUUAGAACGAACAUCAUCAUCAUCGUCAUCAUCAUCAUCACCAAGA
rnacentral:pre_miRNA from 1 species